rnacentral:rRNA from 1 species
UACGAAGGGGGCUAGCGUUGUUCGGAAUUACUGGGCGUAAAGCGUACGUAGGCGGCUUUGUAAGUUAGAGGUGAAAGCCCGGGGCUCAACUCCGGAAUUGCCUUUAAGACUGCAUCGCUUGAAUCAUGGAGAGGUGAGUGGAAUUCCGAGUGUAGAGGUGAAAUUCGUAGAUAUUCGGAAGAACACCAGUGGCGAAGGCGACUCACUGGGACAUGUAUUGACG